rnacentral:lncRNA from 1 species
GAACUGUCAUUGCCAAUCCCCAAGCCCUCAGUCUAAAAGUGGAAGGUGAAGGAGAAGCCCUGAAAUAUCUGAGUCACAAUCUUCUAAAAAACCUCAAGAGUCAGCUAAUGAGGAGGCUCGCAUGUGGAGAAGAUCACCUUGCCCAAAUGACCAUCUCAGCAGGCAUUGCAAUAAUGUAUCUAUUGAGCAGAAAUUCAAAGAUUUGGACCCCCAGAUUGAAGCCAUCAACAUCGGCGUCAAUGCUCCAGUAACCAUGGAUUCAUUGAUAAGGAAGACAUAAUCCCCAUUCAUUGAGAGGGUGAUGAGGGUUAGAGUAUUUUCCAAAUUUAAGUUUCCUCCCCAUCUUGAAUUCAUACAAGAAUCUGAUGAUGCGUCAAGGAGUUUCGAAUGAGGUAAUGUGCAAGGCCUUCUCAACGACUUUGAGAAGGCUGGUGAGGUUGUGGUUCAAAAUGUUAUGACCAUGAAUCAUUGACUCAUUAGAGACCUGGGUAGGUAUCGUCAAUUUCUUGAGUUGUAGGGUCAAACAAAAAAAUGCCUCCCAUCUUUUUAUCGAUCAUCAGAAAAAUGAGGAAAGCUUGAAGGAUUACAUUAGGCAGUUCAACCAAGCUAUCCUUGAAGUGGAGGACCCCAAUGACAAGGUGAUAGUUGUGGAGAUGAUGGAGGGACUCCGUCCUACUCCACUAUUUGAUUCUUCAUCAAAGAAUAUACUAAAAACCUUGUCGGCACACCAAGCUAAAGCUGAUAAGUACAUUGCCGUCGAAGAAUUGGCCGAAGCCAAGCAAAGAAGGCGAGGGAAAGAAGAUAACAAGAGGAAGGAGCCUGAUUCGCGAAGGAUAGACUACAGGGGAGACAUGAAAUCAAGGAAGCUUGAGCGAGAUGCUAGGAGGCAAAUCAACGAUCAAUGCUCUUGGACUCCUCCUCAUUGAACAGAGGUGCUACUACCACCACUCAACUCCCCCAUCGCCCAAGUACUUAUGGAGAUUAAGAAUGAAGAAUAUGUGAAGUGUCUAAAUCAAGACCAAUCCCCUACGGAGAAACAAGAAUAAGUAUUAUGAAUUUCACAGGGAUCAUAGCCACAACACAGAAGACUAUUUUCAGCUGAAAGAGCAUAUAGCUAACAUGAUCAAGAAGGGAUAUUUGAGGAAGUUCUUGGCUAAUCGCCCGAGACUAGCUAAGCCCUAAAGAGGGUAUGUUGAUAUAAAGAUAUAUUUAAUUUUGAUAAUUAGACUUGUAAACACUAAGCUUGAUUAAACUUAUUGUGAAAAUCGUAUUAAGGAAUGCCAAAUAAAUUCACAUGUGUUAAAUCACUUGAUUAACUCAAAACAUCCUUGAACAAGUUUUUUUUAAGAUUAAGCAUGCAUGCAUACAUUGAAAACAUAAUUUAGAAUUGAAAGAAAUCAUGUGACUAUUUCAUAUCCUUGAAGAGAACCAAGAUUGAACUCAAAAAUAGUCUACAUGUGAUCUUAAUGAAAUCCGUAACUUUCUAUAUAUUCAAAGUAAUUAUGCAAAUGAAACUUGUAGAAGAGUUAAACCAUCACUUAAACUCAUUUUGGAUAGUUAACGACUUUGGUCUGUGAAGAAUACAGUGUAACUGCUGUAACUGUCACAAGUUUGGUCAACUGAACUUGUCAACCAAAGUUGAAGCUCCUCAAUCGAAGUAGAAUAGAGGCUCAAACAAAUGAACUAAAUCUUCACUGGAGAAACAGAGCAACAUCAACUGAAGUUAAGUUUCGGUCGACCGAAGUUUAAGAAUCACAACCGAAGAAAAAUUUUGCUCAAAUAAGUACUGUCAUAAAGAACAAUGCAAUGUUGACUGAAGUUGAUCAAGAGCUCGACCGAAGUUAAGAUUCGGUCAAUCGAAGUUAGCUGAGAGCCUAAUUGAAGAAUGGAAGGCUCACUGGAAAAACAAAGCAAUGUCGACCGAAGUUGACAUUCGGUCGACCGAAGUUUACUAAAUCCUCAACUGAAGUCAGUAAAACCUUCAGCAAUUAAAAAGGAAAGCUCAUUGUAAGAACAUAGUAACCUCAACCAAAGUUUCAAACUUUGAUUUUGCACGUCCAAAUCAAGAUCCAACGGCUGAGAUUCAAUCAGAAUGGAUAGAUCAGAAGCAUUAAAUACAACAACGACUCUAUUCAAGUUUGGGCUUAUAAAUUCAAUCUUGGGGUUAUUGGUAAGAUAUUGAAGUGCCAUAAAAACUCAUCUACACUUGCAUUCAAUACUUCAAUCCCUUAAUCAUUCAUUAUGAGCUUGAUUUGUCUAGAGAGCAAGAUCACUCUAGAGAGAAAACUUCAUAGUAUUUAUCUUUAAUCUAGAGUUGGUGAGCUUUAGUUACUACAACAACUACUUCCUUUUUAGAGGAUCACUCUAAGUGAUUGUAAAGAUUCCAAGAGAGGGAUUCUCUUGAAGACUAGAAGUUUUCUAGUUAUUAUAAAGGUUGUCAAGCACCCGCAAGCUUGAAGAUAAUAAAUAUCUAAGGAGAAGCUUGGAGAGUGGACGUAGG